UACGGAGGGUGCAAGCGUUAAUCGGAAUACUGGGCGUAAAGCGCACGCAGGCGGUUUGUUAAGUCAGAUGUGAAAUCCCCGGGCUCAACCUGGGAACUGCAUCUGAUACUGGCAAGCUUGAGUCUCGUAGAGGGGGGUAGAAUUCCAGGUGUAGCGGUGAAAUGCGUAGAGAUCUGGAGGAAUACCGGUGGCGAAGGCGGCCCCCUGGACGAAGACUGACGCUCAGGUGCGAAAGCGUGGGGAGCAAACAGGAUUAGAUACCCUGGUAGUCAAGGGCGAAUUCGC
rnacentral:rRNA from 1 species